GGGUAACAGAAAGCAUCUCUGUGGACCAGCAGUAAAAGAAAAAAAAUCCAGACCGGGCACGGUGGCUCACACCUGUAAUCCCAGCACUUUGGGAGGCCGAGGCAGGCGUAUCACUUGAAAUCAAGAGUUCGAGACCAGCCUGGCCAACCUGUUUGUAGAUGCGGACAAUCUGAUCCUCAACCCUGACACACUGAGCCUGCUCAUCGCUGAGAACAAGACGGUGGUCGCCCCCAUGCUGGAUUCCCGGGCUGCGUACUCCAACUUCUGGUGUGGAAUGACUUCCCAGGGCUACUACAAGCGCACACCUGCCUACAUCCCCAUCCGCAAGCGAGACCGCCGGGGCUGCUUUGCAGUUCCCAUGGUGCACUCGACCUUCCUGAUCGACCUGCGGAAGGCGGCGUCCAGGAACCUGGCCUUCUACCCACCUCACCCUGACUACACCUGGUCCUUUGACGACAUCAUCGUCUUUGCCUUCUCCUGCAAGCAGGCAGGGCCUUGCCCUGUUGCCUAAGCUGGAGUGCAGUGUGCCAUCAUAGCUCACAGCAG
rnacentral:sRNA from 1 species